GAUGAACGCCAGCUACAGGCUUAACACAUGCAAGUCGAGGGGUAACAAGAGGAAAGCUUGCUUUUCUUGUUGACGACCGGCGCACGGGUGAGUAACGCGUAUCCAACCUGCCUAUAACUAGGGAAUAACCUUGCGAAAGUAAGACUAAUACCCUAUGAUUUCCUUUGAUGACAUCAGAUUAGGAAUAAAGAUUUAUCGGUUAUAGAUGGGGAUGCGUCUGAUUAGCUUGUUGGCGGGGUAACGGCCCACCAAGGCAACGAUCAGUAGGGGUUCUGAGAAGAAGGUCCCCCACAUUGGAACUGAGACACGGUCCAAACUCCUACGGGAGGCAGCAGUGAGGAAUAUUGGUCAAUGGGCGGAAGCCUGAACCAGCCAAGUAGCAUGCAGGAUGACGGCCCUAUGGGUUGUAAACUGCUUUUAUACAGGAAUAAAGUUAGCCACGUGUGGUUAUUUGUAGGUACUGUAUGAAUAAGGACCGGCUAAUUCCGUGCCAGCCGCCGCGGUAA
rnacentral:rRNA from 1 species